rnacentral:lncRNA from 1 species
GGCCGGGCGCGGUGGCUCACGCCUGUAAUCCCAGCACUUUGGGAGGCCGAGGCGGGCGGAUCACGAGGUCAGGAGAUCGAGACCAUCCCGGCUAAAACGGUGAAACCCCGUCUCUACUAAAAAUACAAAAAAUUAGCCGGGCGUGGUGGCGGGCGCCUGUGGUCCCAGCUACUUGGGAGGCUGAGGCAGGAGAAUGGCGUGAA